ensembl:lncRNA
CCGGGCCUCUAACCCCAUCCCCCAGCCUAGGAGCCCUCCCCCACUCUCUCUCUGUCUCUCUACAUUCAAGCCGCCUGCAGGUUCUGUGGGCUCCACCUCCAGCCUUUAUCCAGGACCCCCAUGCUCACCACCUGCACUGCAAGCCCCCACCCACCUUCCACAGCCUGCCUCCCCCACUGGCCGCCUGGGCCAUGGCUGUGGCUUCCUCGCUGGUGUCUGGUGUCCACCCUGCCAGCCCGUGGUGUAUUCUCCAACAUGGCAGCCAGAGGGAGCCUUUUAAAAUCUAAAUCAGAUCAUGCCAUUCCCCUGUAUCAGGCCUUCCAGCUAAAUUUCAACCCCCUCCUAAGCCCAUAAACUACACUCCAUGCACAAGGCUUUCUUUCUGUCCCUUUGACACAGAGCACACACACACACACACACACACACACCUUCAACCUCAGGGCCUUUGCACCUACCAUUUCCUCUGUUUCUGCAGUUAGGCCUCCCUGACAGCUUGUCUACAGCAUCCCCCUUCGGUCUCCAUCUCAUUGCUAUUACUGUCUUCAUAGAACUUAUCACUACUCGCUUAGUGCUAGUCUUGGAACUGGAAUAUAAAGGCCAGGAGGGCGGAGAAACCUUACCUGUCUUAUCCAGGGAUAUACUAUGGUACUCGACGCUACCGGGGUACACAGUAGGUGCUCAGUGUGUGCACGUUACCUGGCAUCAGGCGCUCAGGAGUCUAUCGGGUGAAUGGGCCGCUGCAAAACUCUCCUUAGAAACCCAGUGUUUUCCCAACUGCCUGAUGACGUGGAUAGCUAGGAGCAUCUGUUUAAAGAUGCAGAUUCCUUGGCCCGCCGCCGACGUACUGCGCCCAACUCUCCAGCGGAGGGAAUCCGGGUGUCUGCGAUGCGGCUCAGGGACGGUUCCUAGAGCUGCCUGCUCCAAGGGAGCUCCGUCCUCAGGCUGGCUGAUGGGGGCGUCGGAGACCCCUUCGCUGCUUGGCCUUCCCAACCGGUAACUGUGGUUUAGAGAAAAAGACUAAAACGUGGAGAUGCCGGGGAUUGAACCCGGGGCCUCAUACAUGCAAAGCAUGCGCUCUACCACUGAGCUACAUCCCCUGACUCUUAAGCGCGUUUUCCGGGAAUGAGGAUGUAGGAAGUCGCGCCUUCGCUCCGCUUGUACCUACUUCUUACUUUAAGGACGCUCAGCGUCUCCGUGGGCUCAAGAAGGUCUCUCGGAGCGCUGCGGGAGCUCGCUGACCCGGGGCGCCCGGCGCUGCGACUCCGGAGACCCGGCCCCGAGCAGACGGCAGCGGUAGCCGGAGAACCCGGUCCCCAUAUGGAGCGACCUGGAGAAGAGCGAGAACGGCUCGUCCUCGUUAGUAUAGUGACGCACGAGGAGCCGUCCGUCCCCGUUGUGCCUGGAACCGUGUAAAUUAGGGCGCCUGCGAGAGGUGCCGUGCUGCCCCGGAAGGCGCUGAGCCAGAAAAGCUGCGUCCUCAGCGGAGGCCCCAGUAGGUGUGUCCAUAUCUUGGAGUACGUUUCUAUUUCCUUUUCUGAUCGGCAUCACAGUGACAGCAGCUCACCGCGACCUCGUUCCCACCGGGCGCCGGGCGGCGUCCGUGCGGCCCGUGCAGGCGCGCUGCUCCCCCCGGGGCGGUGUCUGGCCGCCUCGUCCUCCCAGGGCGGUGUGGGGCCGCCUCGUUCCCCCGGGGCGCCGUGGGGCGCGGCCCAUGGAGAGGCCCCGGCCGCCGCACCGUCCGCUCUGCGCCCCGCUGCCCUCGGGGGAGGAGGGCGGGGAGACGGGGGCGACCCCGACUUCCCCCCCCCCGCCUCUCUGGACUGUUUGAAAUGUGUCUUCCCGUCCCCCUCCCUCCC